rnacentral:rRNA from 1 species
UCCAGACUCCUACGGGAGGCAGCAGUGGGGAAUAUUGCACAAUGGGGGGAACCCUGAUGCAGCAAUGCCGCGUGAAGGAUGAAGGUUUUCGGAUUGUAAACUUCUUUUGUACGGGACGAAGAAAGUGACGGUACCGUAAGAAUAAGCCACGGCUAACUACGUGCCAGCAGCCGCGGUAAUACGGAGGAUGCGAGCGUUAUCCGGAUUUAUUGGGUUUAAAGGGUGCGUAGGCGGAAUGCCAAGUCAGCGGUAAAAUCGCGGGGCUCAACCUCGCUCCGCCGUUGAAACUGGCGUUCUUGAGUGGGCGAGAAGUAUGCGGAAUGCGUGGUGUAGCGGUGAAAUGCAUAGAUAUCACGCAGAACUCCGAUUGCGAAGGCAGCAUACCGGCGCCCAACUGACGCUGAAGCACGAAAGCGUGGGUAUCGAACAGGAUUAGAUACCCCAGUA